GUUACGUGUAAGUUAAAAUGCUGAGGCUAGCCACGAUUUAGCAGCAGCAUGUGAUAAAGUUUAACACUUGCGUGGGCUUGAUUGAGCCAAGCGGUAGACAAUAAAACCAGCUGCUGCCAAUCUGGAUUAAUGAGCAUCUUCUAGGGGAAUGAAGCAUUGAUGACACUUUAUCAGCACUGGAAAAUGACUGUAGGGGGAAGCCUUUCAUUCUGCCUUCUCUUAAAAGCUUUUUGUGAUUUGACUUGUCUAGCUGUGAUGGUGAAGGAUUGUUAGUUAACGGAAGCUGAAAAAGGCAUCACCAGGAAGUAUUGCUGACUGGGAAUGGGUUGCAUUUGACAGCACGUGAUGGUCCAGAAACUUAAGCUGCUCAUCAGUCGCUCAGUAGUCAGUGUAGAUUCUGUUUCUUCGGUCAGCAGCUACAUCUGGCUACUGGGUCUCUGAAGACGUCUUGUAGCAGCUGGUCACUGUACUUCACCCCUGACUGGUUGGAUAACUUGAAUUACUUUUUAGACUAUCCUAUAAGAUAAAAUUAUUCAAUAAUAUUCAGAAUUUAUCCACAAGUAUUAAAAAGUGAUUCCAGAUACACACACACACACACACACACACACUUCUGAUUGAAUUAAACAGGAUUUUCUUUUAGUAAUGUCAACUAUAACAACAGGUUGCAAUAAAUAGUUGCUAGUAUU